GUGCCAGCAGCCGCGGUAAUACGAAGGGUGCAAGCGUUACUCGGAAUUACUGGGCGUAAAGCGUGCGUAGGUGGUCGUUUAAGUCCGUUGUGAAAGCCCUGGGCUCAACCUGGGAACUGCAGUGGAUACUGGGCGACUAGAGUGUGGUAGAGGGUAGCGGAAUUCCUGGUGUACCAGUGAAAUGCGUGGAGAUCAGGAGGAACAUCCAUGGCGAAGGCAGCUACCUGGACCAACACUGACACUGAGGCACGAAAGCGUGGGGAGCAAACGGGAUUAGAUACCCUGGUAGUCCACGCCCUAAACGAUGCGAACUGGAUGUUGGGUGCAAUUUGGCACGCAGUAUCGAAGCUAACGCGUUAAGUUCGCCGCCUGGGGAGUACGGUCGCAAGACUGAAACUCAAAGGAAUUGACGGGGGCCCGCACAAGCGGUGGAGUAUGUGGUUUAAUUCGAUGCAACGCGAAGAACCUUACCUGGCCUUGACAUG
rnacentral:rRNA from 1 species